ACAGGGAGUGUGUCCUUGUGGAGUGAAGCUUGUCCUCCAUUGCUGGGAGCUCCUUCUAUAUCUGGCCCCAUAUUGGAGCCACAGAGAAUGGUUGAGAGUCAGGGCUCCGCGCUUGGACGUUACCUGCUAUUAACCCUGUUCUGGAAGCAAAUGAAGCUCCUUCUGACGCAUGGCCAGAUCACUAGGAGCCUAAUACUAUGUCACAGAGCCCACGUUAUCCCCCUCACAGCAUCCCUUCAUGUGGGCAUUUUAUCCUCUGACAUCAUCACAAGAAGAAGGGACAAGGAUGUGAUACCUAAAGUUGUGGCUUUAAUCCUUUCAAAAUGAGGAAGGAAGUUUCCAGAAAAAAAGGAAAAGAAAAGAAAAGAAAAAAAGCUGGGGAAGUAGCCACAGAAGAUGCCUGGGAAGAAU